ensembl:lncRNA
GUUUAUAAAGCUAGAGAUUACAGUUUAUAAACUUUUAAAUAUUUUUCUUACACAGAUGCAUGGAUUCACUUCAGAGGGCCUUUAUUAAACCCCCGAAGCCGUGUGGAGCACUUUUUAUGAUAUAUAGAUGCAGUUUUUGGGAUUGGAAGAGAAAAUUAGUUUUGCUAUAACAGGAAUAAAUGACUUUCUAUAUACAAAAUAGUUAUUUUAAAUUCUAAUAAUAUUUCACAAUAUUUCUGUUUUUACUGCAUUUCUUAUCAAAUACAUGCAGUUUUGGUCAUCAUAAGAGAUGUUGUUAGGUGACAGAUUGUUGCCAAAAGUAAAAUACACUAUGUAUAUCAAGUUUGACUUCUACCCACUCCGUUUCAAGCAAUAGAUGGAAUUAUGUUGUUAAAGUAUGACGAAAGUAUGAUUAAUUUAACUAGAUAAUAAAUCAAAUCAAAUCAAAUCAAAUCAAAUAUAUAUAUAUUACCUUUUGCCACCUAACAACCAUUAUUUUAUUUUAUUUUAUUUUAUUUUAUUUUAUUUUAUUUUAUUUUAUUUUUCAGUGAUUUCUGACAAAUUAUUUAUUAUAAUUUAUUUGUUUGUUUGUUUGUUUUAUUUAUCUUCCUUUUGGCAACAAGCAACCACCUAACAACCAUUAUUUAAUUUCAUUUAUUUAAUUUUUUUUUUUUUUACUUUUGGCAAUGAGCAACCACCUAGGAACCUUUAUUUACAUAUUUGUUUGUUUAUUGUAAACAUGCUUAUUUUUCUUAAUUUUGAUAACAACAAUGCAGCAGCAGCAACAACAACGUCAACAAAACAUCUAAAAAUAGGCCUAAUUUUCAAAUCAUGUGGUAAUAAUAACAGCGAUGCUUGUCUUAUCAACUCCUUCUAAAGAAUUUGAUAGGAAACAUUUGUGAUUUUCCUUUAUAUUUGCUGAAGCAUCAGGAAUGAAGCAGAGUCUUCUGCUGGAGUGUGAGCGAGUCUGGAGCGUCAGAUGUUUUCACGAGCGUCUGAACCACAGCUUGUUCUCAGAUAGAGUCAGAACACAGCGAGCGGCUCACAGAGAUACAGCGUUCAUCAAGUGUACUCAGUAGACAAACUCAACUGUGAAGAUCCGUUUCUUUUAAAGACUGUUGUUUCUCUUCCUUGUCCUUCUCUUGACUCUCUCCU